rnacentral:rRNA from 1 species
AACGAACGCUGGCGGCGUAGCUUAACACAUGCAAGUCGAACGCGAAAGGGACUUCGGUCCUGAGCAAAGUGGCGCACGGGUGAGUAACGCGUAGAUAACCUGUCUUCAUGUCUGGAAUAAUACGCCGAAAGGGGUACUAAUACCGGAUAUUCUUGCUUUUCAUAAGUUAUGCAAGCAAAGGUGGCCUCUGCAUAUGCUACUGCAUGAAGAGGGGUCUGCGUACCAUUAGCUAGUAGGUGGGGUAAUGGCCUACCUAGGCGACGAUGGUUAGCGGGUCUGAGAGGAUGAUCCGCCACACUGGCACUGGAACACGGGCCAGACUCCUACGGGAGGCAGCAGUGAGGAAUAUUGCGCAAUGGGGGAAACCCUGACGCAGCGACGCCGCGUGAGUGAGGAAGGCCUUCGGGUCGUAAAGCUCUGUCAAGAGGAAAGAAGUGUACAAUGGCUAAUACCCGUUGUAUUUGACGGUACCUCUAAAGGAAGCACCGGCUAACUCCGUGCCAGCAGCCGC